rnacentral:rRNA from 1 species
UACGAAGGGGGCUAGCGUUGUUCGGAAUCACUGGGCGUAAAGGGCGCGCAGGCGGCAUGACAAGUAAGGUGUGAAAUCUCCCUGCUCAACGGGGAGGGUGCAUUUUAGACUGUCAAGCUAGAGGACGGUAGAGGGGGGUAGAAUUGCUGGUGUAGCGGUGAAAUGCGUAGAGAUCAGCAGGAAUACCCGUGGCGAAGGCGGCCCCCUGGGCCGAACCUGACGCUGAGGCGCGAAGGCUAGGGGAGCGAACGGG